UAAUAGCUAAAUGUGCUUUAAACUACAGCAGCUUAAACUAUAAAUGUAAAAGAAACAGAAAGCAUUAGCAGCAUAAUUUCAGAACAAUAUGCUGCAGUUAAUAAAUAAAACAAACAAUACUACAUCAGUGUAAUGUCACCAUUAAGUGUCAGGUUAUACAGACCAACUGACCAACAAUAAAAUCAUUUUAGCUAUUGUCAUUGUCAAAAUGUCCCCCCUUUUUGCCUAUUUGACACGAGAACAUCCUUUACUUCUUACAUGGCCAGGUGAUUUCUCAGAGUUAAAACCUUGCCUUUAAACUACUUCUUCCCCAAGCUCAACAGGACCUGCUGAAUGAAAUGGAAAGUGUUGUUCAAGACCUGAAAGAAAUGAGCCACCUUCAAAUGGUAGUGUAAGGCUUACAGGUCUUAUAGUAAAUUACAGUACAAAUCUGUUUUUAAGCCAAACAUAUUUCGAUACCGAUUUGUGAAUAUAAAGAGAAAUUACCUGAUUAGACAGUUUUCAAAUCGGGAUGCACGUUUACAAAACAUAGUAUGUACUGUAUUUGAAAAUGUUUUUAGACACUUUCAGUUAUAAACUGAACCAACAAUGUCUUAUCUACUGUAAUUUAACUCAUCCUUGACUGCAUUAUUGCCUAUUUUAAUGUACGAUGUGUAGUAAGAGAACAUCAUUUAUAAUCCAGUGAUAUAACUUACAAAGCAGGCCUUGAAGUCAGCUGGGUUAUCAUCAAAACGUACUGGAAGUCUUCUCAGCACAAGGCAUCUGAUGUCAGUAAUGUCCGAUGUCUAGAUUGCAUUGACAGCAUAGAUAAGAUUGUAACAUUAGACAUUAUAACAUUGACAGUCCACACUCAGAUCUGUACACUGAUAUGGGUAGUAUCACUUCAAUUUACAAACCUUUGUCGCAAAAGACCAUCCAAGAUUUGGCCCUUGAGGCCUUUCUUUGACCUGAAGAUUUCAACAAGUUGAGUGCAAUGAGACACAGAAUUCCUGUUUCAGGUUUCACUCUAUUGAAUUCCUGGUAGACCUAAAACAUAUGCACAAAUACAUCAUGUUAUAAAGGUACUGUCACGAUUUGGGACCUCCGGGCCUCUAGAGGUCGCCAACUAAAGACUCUUGGCUAGUCUUGGGUGUACAUGUGCUUAUGUUGACUUCCUGUCUCUGUUUUCCCUUUGUUUUCACCUGCUAGUUAAUUGGCUAAUUAACUAGGCUAAUGGAUGGAUCGAAGACAAUAAAUAUGUUAAUGUUUGAAGGAAGGGGAAUAAUGGCUAUGUCUUCAACCUGAUGGCCCUUGUCUUCAGAUAAAGUUGCUCUUGACCCCCUAGCUGAUGUGGAUGUGUUUCAGGACCUGUCUGCUUAACACGACAGACCUCCCAUGGAGAAAGUUGCUGAGCAUGCGUCUGUGUCGCGUUCCAGUCGAUGGGGGGUCUGAACCUGACAUACUGCCCUGUAGCAUCAGAAAACUCCCUUCUUAUGCACAGCACCACAGGUGGAGGGAUGACAACAUGAACACUUCCAAGGAACCCCCAGCACCAGCUAACAAACCACUUGAAGGCCAAGUGUCUGCAUCAUCUGCAUGGAGAAGAGAGGAGGAAAGCACAUAUUGAUUGUUUUAGUAUUUAUUUGGUUUAGAGUUUAUAAUUGCG
ensembl:lncRNA